GGUAGGGUUUUUGUCUGGCCCUGGAUAUCUUCUGCUGGGAGUGACUGAUAGAAGGGCUUUAGGAUGAAUUUAGUUCCUCUCCUGGCCUGAGAGAUGCUGCUACUCACGCUGUGGAAGCUUGCCCAUGCUUUGAAUAGGUACCAGGCAUCUUUGUUGGUGCUCCAUGAAAUGUUUCCCUUUGUAUUCCUCAAAUGCCCUGUGAAGAGAAGGAGGUGAAAAUAAACCUGUUUUGCCUAGGGAAGGACACACAGGCAUGAUCUGUCAGCUGUAGGAUGCUGGUUUGGAAAUUCUAAUCCUCCUAUUAAAGGAUGAGAUCCGUGGGAACUUCCAGUGUUUAAAAAGUUGGCUCUUGGUCCCUGUCAGGUUAUUCCGGGUGUCAGAGAGAGGCCUCAUAGCUCCUCAUUUGGUCAAAGGAGGAUUCCCAGAUCCCACAUGCUAAGUGGAAACCCUCCGUAGGAAACACCAGCCCCAGGGCUGCUCUUCCUGAAUUUGGUGCCUCUGCUCAGAUAGGACCCAGGACACUGACUCCACCUGAGGGUAAGGGCUCUCUGAGAUAAGCAGUACCCUCUCUAAAACCUUGUAAAAUCUCAGCUGCCUUUAGUACUUCCAGUGCUUGCCAGCAAAGUGAGAGACCAGAGCCCCCUCCUCGACUUCUGGACUCCAGCCGUUCCUCACCAGGCCAGGGAAGAGGCUACGGAGAUGGUGACCCUCCAUCCCUCCAUCGAGCAGGGCGUCCGUGCACUGGAGUGGUGCAAUGCAAAGAGAAGGGGCAAGAGAGAGCCCAGCUUUUCACACCGAGUCAUUCGGCUUCUCAGCUUGGAGCGGUUUCGAACUGCCUGGGCUCUCUGUUCAGAUCCCAGGAGAAGAAGAGAUCCAUAUGCUGUCAGAACAGGACAGCUCUUGUCUUUUGGCAAUGAGCAGGUUGGCUUUGGCCUCCAGCUGAAGUGGGAUAUACUCAUCCCCAAACAGCUUCUACCUCCUGAGAUCUCCGUCUAAUUGAAUCACCUUACACCUUCCAUUGAAGAGGAGAUAGGCAUGAAUCAGCCUCCAAGCCUUUGGCUCCAGGAUGCAUCCAUGACGAUGAGACACAGAGGGUGGGGAUCCAAAAAUCUGCAAACAAGGAAAGAUCUAUAUCUUCUAAGAAAAAAAAAUGCAGCUAGCUGCAAGGAGGCUUGCGAAAGGCAGCCCAUCUUCUCCUCAUUCGUGUAGAAUCAGCCUCCUGCAACGGUGUUUUCACGUUGAUCGCAACCUCUCCUGACACUGGAAGUGGGGAGAAGAGUGAGACCAGCACUGGUGAAAUCUGUCCUGUCCGUUUAAGCCCUGUGGUGAAAAAGCUUGCAAACCAAGUUUAGUUUGCAUGCAUGACUUGGAAGGCGAGAUGGAAGCUAUAGCCUUCUCUGGUGCAAGUUGACUCCGAUAAAGUUUGGUGAAGUAUAAAUUGACCCAGCUCUGCUAAAGCCGACGAUUAAUGCCCUGAUUGAUGAAAAACAGUUCAGCUCCACUUGAAGCCAGCUGACCAGUUGCCGGUGCAAACUGCCGUGGUCUCAGUGAAGUCAAUGGCCAGGUAGCUCUGGAAAUGCACCUUCCUGAUAAUGAGGAAACAAUUUCCAAUUUAUUUUCAGAGCCAUAGCUGUCUGGGGAGCUAUUAAGUGUGGGAUGGAACAAAGCAGCUGUUGAACUCUGCACAUCGACGCUACACAACAGGUUAGGACAGGAAGUGAAGAAGAAUCCAAUUGAAACCUUAGGGGGAAUUUAAGGAGA